rnacentral:lncRNA from 1 species
AAGCGCGCUCCUCGGGGCCGUGAGCGCGCCCCGGGGGCCGGCCGGUCAGAUCGGGAGCGCGCCCUAAGGCCCAGCCCUGUCUCCUUCUAGCGGGCGGGUUUAGGCGCUAUCGGUCAGCGCUGGUCCGUCUGGUAAGUACCUGGUGGCGAGUUCCGUCUCUCGCGUCUUUUCCUGGUCCCAGGCAAAACGGAGCGGAGAUCCUCAAACGGCCUAGUGCUUCGCGCCUCCGGAGAAAAAUCAAAGGUCUAUUUAAUUCCUCUGGUUUGUUGAAGCAGUUACCAAGAAUCUUCAUCCCCUUCCCACAAAAGCUGCAGUGAGUCCACGUUCCUGUUGAUUUAACCAUUAGGAGAAUAUUACGUUUGUCAGGAGGCCAAGUUAGAGUUUAGAAAAGUAAGUAUUUUUAAAUUGUAUUUUGCUUUGAGCCUGAUGAUUCUGUGC